UGGAUUAUACCAACAUCACAUUGUUUUUUAUAUUCAUAUUUAUAUCAAUCUUUGUUUUCCAUUUUGAUGAUCGGAAGAGUUUUGCACAAUUUACGAGAUCUCUUGGGAACAACAUCCAGACAACCAUCACAGCUGAGUCUGGACAGAACGUCACUCUGACAUGUCGAGCUCCAUCAGACAAAACCAUCAGUGCUGUAGAGUGGAACAGAACUGACCUGGGAGAUAAAUAUGUGCUUUUGUACCGGGAUGGUCACUUUCAGGAUGAUGACCAGCAUCCAUCUUUUAAGAACCGGGUGGAUCUGCAGGACAGCCAGAUGAAG
ensembl:lncRNA